rnacentral:sRNA from 8 species
UGACGAGGAUGAGAACCUCCGGGGGCAAGAGGUUCGACUCGAGCGAAGCGAGAGAACGUUGCGUCAGCAACGGCCCGCAGUGGCAAGUCAUCCUCUGUCACCGGCAG